GCAUGACCUGGUACCAAAUGCUUUAAAGCCGAUCUUGACGAUGCUGCUGGAUGAUGAACCGUCUGAAUUAUUUUCAAUCCUUUACUGCUCACCUGAAAGCAUAAAAAUAAUCAUCAUUAUAACGUUCUUUCGAAAUUUAAAGGUUAAAUUGUCGACAUAAAGAACAACGAAGAAACACAAAGAGAAAGAUGAUGAAGAUACCUGUUCUAUGUGCAGUCUACUUCGUUUAAUGUUUAUUUUUUUUUUCUCUCAAGUCCCAUAAAAUUAAGAAAAAAUGCUAACACUUAUUCACUGACCAGUGUGUAGCAAAAUUCGUUAUAAAAAUUCCUCAUUUUCAAUUCGAGAAAAGUUAAAUUUAAAUAAAUUAACGUACACAGGAAAUUUGGAAAUUGACUAAAACAAAAGAUAAACCCAUCUUUUUCUAUAUAUCAAUUCGACUAGAUAAUUUUUUUGAAAUUAAUGCUCAGGAAAUGUGGAAAUGCUCAAACUUUAAAAAGAAGAAAAAACAUCAAUGCCUCAAUAAAAAAUCUAUUUGUUUUGAACACAAAGCGAAAUAAAGUCACAGCUAGACAUACUUUUUGAAGGAAGAAAGACACACACACACAAAAGAAUAGAAUGAAGUAACAUGACCGCAUGAUUUUCUAAAAGUCUAACACUUGUAUUAUAGAACGAAGCCGAAGCAAGAUUGUUUCUUUAAAAAAGAACACC